rnacentral:rRNA from 1 species
UACGUAGGGCGCGAGCGUUGUCCGGAAUUAUUGGGCGUAAAGAGCUCGUAGGCGGCUGGUUGCGUCUGCUGUGAAAUCCCGGGGCUUAACCCCGGGCGUGCAGUGGAUACGGGCCGGCUGGAGGCAGGCAGGGGAGAAUGGAAUUCCCGGUGUAGUGGUGAAAUGCGUAGAUAUCGGGAGGAACACCAGUGGCGAAGGCGACUACCUGGCCUGUUCUUGACGCUGAGGCGCGAAAGCUAGGGGAGCAAACGGG